GCAGAUCGCCCAUAAAUAAGAAUAGAAAAAUGUACAGUUCUUAACGUGCUAAAAGUGUUGCAUUUAAAUACAAUAUGGCAAUAUAUUUAAUGUUCCCUUCCAGAAAUAAUGAGAGUUUUAAAUUCGUACAUCCACAUCGAAACAAACUUCUCUCUAGAAUAUGGGUUUUGUCAUACAAUGCUGUGUUUUGUUGUGAUACAAAUAUAUGGUUGGCAGUGUCAUCGGAUACAUUUUUCAAUCAAGAUAGCCUAUUGCAAACUUUAGCUACGUUUAAAUUUAUGUGGUCCAGUAUAUGAAGUGGAGAAUUUUUUUGUAAAAGAUAAUCAGAAAAUUUAAAUUGAAUACAAAGGGCAAUAACUCCAUGAGAGGUCUAUUGUCA
rnacentral:lncRNA from 1 species